rnacentral:rRNA from 1 species
AUUGAACGCUGGCGGAAUGCUUUACACAUGCAAGUCGAGCGGCAGCGCGGGGGCAACCCUGGCGGCGAGCGGCGAACGGGUGAGUAAUACAUCGGAACGUGUCCUUAAGUGGGGGAUAGCUCGGCGAAAGCCGGAUUAAUACCGCAUAAGCUCUGAGGAGGAAAGCGGGGGCUCCGUAAGGACCUCGCGCUGUUGGAGCGGCCGAUGUCGGAUUAGCUAGUUGGUGGGGUAAAGGCCCACCAAGGCGACGAUCCGUAGCUGGUCUGAGAGGAUGAUCAGCCACACUGGAACUGAGCACGGUCCAGACUCCUACGGGAGGCAGCAGUGGGGAAUUUUGGACAAUGGGGGCAACCCUGAUCCAGCCAUUCCGCGU